GAUGAACGCUGACAGCAUGCUUAACACAUGCAAGUCAACUGUGGCGGACGGGUGAGUAACGCGUAAAGAACUUGCCUCACAGUUAGGGACAACAUUUGGAAACGAAUGCUAAUACCUGAUACUGUGAGAGAGCUUUGCGUCCCAUUAGCUAGUUGGAGAGGUAACGGCUCACCAAGGCGAUGCUGGGUAGCCGGCCUGAGAGGGUGAUCGGCCACAAGGGGACUGAGAAACGGCCCUUAUUCCUACGGGAGGAAUCAGCGGGGAAUAUUGGACAAUGGACCAAAGUCUGAUCCAGCAAUUCUGUGUGCACGAUGAAGUUUUCGGAAUGUAAAGUGCUUUCAGUAGGGAAGCGGUACCAACAGAAGAAGUGACGGCUAAAUACGUGCCAGCAGCCGCGGUAAUAC
rnacentral:rRNA from 1 species